rnacentral:lncRNA from 1 species
GUGAAAUGCACUGGAGUGUCCAGUUUUGUGUCACGUGUCCUUUCUGCCAUUCUCAGGCUAAUGGCACUCUUCAUGACAAGCCUGAUUGUACUGUUAAGCUCCAGAGGAAAAAAUGUGGCUACAGAGUAUAUUAAAAUACAUACAAUUGAAAAGGAAAAUGUUCAUUUUUGCAAGCAGAAGAUUACCAACAGAAUGCUAAAAUUGAAGCUAGAAGAAAGAUUUGAAGUGCCUUUACAAGGUUAUUUCCAAGGUCAUCUGUCUCUUUUUAAAAGAAAAAUAAUAUCCAAAGAAGUCCCACCACUCAGAAGACUUUUACAUUUCAUGUCUCAUUUGCCAGAAUUUCUUCUUACAAGCUCUAAACCAAUCAUGGUUAGGGUAAUGUAA